UACGAAGGGGGGCUAGCGUUGCUCGGAAUUACUGGGCGUAAAGCGCACGUAGGCGGCUCUUUUAAGUCGGGGGGUGAAAUCCUGGAGCUCAACUCCAGAACUGCCUUCGAUACUGAAGAGCUCGAGUCCGGGAGAGGUGAGUGGAAUUCCCAGUGUAGCGGUGAAAUGCGCAGAUAUCGGGGAGGAACACCUAUGGCGAAGGCAGCUCGCUGGGGACGUUACUGACGCUGAGACGCGAAAAGCGUGGGGGAGCAAAACAGG
rnacentral:rRNA from 1 species